rnacentral:rRNA from 1 species
CGUGUAGGCGGUCAAGCAAGUCGGACGUGAAAUCCCAUGGCUCAACCAUGGAAGUGCGCUCGAAACUGCGUGACUAGAGUCCUGGAGAGGAAGGUGGAAUGCUUGGUGUAGAGGUGAAAUUCGUAGAUAUCAAGCGGAACACCGGUGGCGAAGGCGGCCUUCUGGACAGUGACUGACGCUGAGACGCGAAGCGUGGGAGCAAACA